rnacentral:tRNA from 1 species
GCCGGGAUAGCUCAGCUGGUCAGAGCAGCGCUCUUGUAAAGCGAAGGUCGCGGGUUCGAAUCCCGCUCCCGGCU